CAGGACGAGCGCUGGCGGCGUGCUUAACACAUGCAAGUCGAACGGGACUGAUUGAAAGCUUGCUUUGAAAAGUCUAGUGGCAAACGGGUGAGUAACGCGUAGGCAACCUGCCUCUAAGAUGGGGACAACAGUCCGAAAGGACUGCUAAUACCGAAUGUUGUGAGUUUUCCGCAUGGAGAACUCAUUAAAGAUGGCCUCUACUUGUAAGCUAUCACUUAGAGAUGGGCCUGCGUCUGAUUAGCUAGGUUGGUGGGGUAACGGCUCACCAAGGCGACGAUCAGUAGCCGGUCUGAGAGGAUGAACGGCCACAUUGGGACUGAGACACGGCCCAGACUCCUACGGGAGGCAGCAGUGGGGAAUCUUCCGCAAUGGGCGAAAGCCUGACGGAGCAACGCCGCCGUGAGUGAAGAAGGUCUUCGGAUCGUAAAGCUCUGUCGAAGGGGACGAACGUAACCUUUAUCAACAACGAAGGUUAAUGACGGUACCUUUCAAGAAAGCCACGGCUAACUACGUGCCAGCCGCAGC
rnacentral:rRNA from 1 species